CGGCAACAGCUCAAAUUUGAAAUCUGGCUGUCUUUGGCAGUCCGAGUUGUAAUUUGCAGAGGGUGCUUUGGUGUUGGCAGCGGUCUAAGUUCCUUGGAACAGGACGUCACAGAGGGUGAGAAUCCCGUACGUGGUCGCCUGCCUUCGCCGUGUAAAGCCCCUUCGAC
rnacentral:rRNA from 1 species